CAGGUGGUCAGGUAGAGAAUACCAAGGCGCUUGAGAGAACUCGGGUGAAGGAACUAGGCAAAAUGGUGCCGUAACUUCGGGAGAAGGCACGCUGACACGUAGGUGAAGUGAUUUACUCAUGGAGCUGAAGUCAGUCGAAGAUACCAGCUGGCUGCAACUGUUUAUUAAAAACACAGCACUGUGCAAACACGAAAGUGGACGUAUACGGUGUGACGCCUGCCCGGUGCCGGAAGGUUAAUUGAUGGGGUCAGCGCAAGCGAAGCUCCUGAUCGAAGCCCCGGUAAACGGCGGCCGUAACUAUAACGGUCCUAAGGUAGCGAAAUUCCUUGUCGGGUAAGUUCCGACCUGCACGAAUGGCGUAAUGAUGGCCAGGCUGUCUCCACCCGAGACUCAGUGAAAUUGAACUCGCUGUGAAGAUGCAGUGUACCCGCGGCAAGACGGAAAGACCCCGUGAACCUUUACUAUAGCUUGACACUGAACAUUGAGCCUUGAUGUGUAGGAUAGGUGGGAGGCUUUGAAGUGUGGACGCCAGUCUGCAUGGAGCCGACCUUGAAAUACCACCCUUUAAUGUUUGAUGUUCUAACGUGGACCCGUUACCCGGGUUGCGGACAGUGUCUGGUGGGUAGUUUGACUGGGGCGGUCUCCUCCUAAAGAGUAACGGAGGAGCACGAAGGUUGGCUAAUCCUGGUCGGACAUCAGGAGGUUAGUGCAAUGGCAUAAGCCAGCUUGACUGCGAGCGUGACGGCGCGAGCAGGUGCGAAAGCAGGUCAUAGUGAUCCGGUGGUUCUGAAUGGAAGGGCCAUCGCUCAACGGAUAAAAGGUACUCCGGGGAUAACAGGCUGAUACCGCCCAAGAGUUCAUAUCGACGGCGGUGUUUGGCACCUCGAUGUCGGCUCAUCACAUCCUGGGGCUGAAGUAGGUCCCAAGGGUAUGGCUGUUCGCCAUUUAAAGUGGUACGCGAGCUGGGUUUAGAACGUCGUGAGACAGUUCGGUCCCUAUCUGCCGUGGGCGCUGGAGAACUGAGGGGGGCUGCUCCUAGUACGAGAGGACCGGAGUGGACGCAUCACUGGUGUUCGGGUUGUCAUGCCAAUGGCACUGCCCGGUAGCUAAAUGCGGAAGAGAUAAGUGCUGAAAGCAUCUAAGCACGAAACUUGCCCCGAGAUGAGUUCUCCCUGAGACUUUAGGUCUCCUGAAGGAACGUUGAAGACGACGACGUUGAUAGGCCGGGUGUGUAAGCGCAGCGAUGCGUUGAGCUAACCGGUACUAAUGAACCGUGAGGCUUA
rnacentral:rRNA from 1 species